rnacentral:tRNA from 1 species
UUCCCUGUGGCUCAGUUGGUAGAGCAUGGUGUUUGCAACGCCAGGGUUGUGGGUUCGAUUCCCACGGGGGGCA